rnacentral:tRNA from 1 species
AAAAAGAUAAGCUAAUUUAAGCUUUUGGGUUCAUACCCCGACUAUAAAGAUUCCUUUUCUUUUUA